AGCAGCCGCGGUAAUUCCAGCUCCAAUAGCGUAUAUUAAAGUUGUUGCAGUUAAAAAGCUCGUAGUUGAAUUUCGAGACCGGUCUACUGGUCGUGCUUUUGUACGUACUAGUAUAAUCGGUUUCUCUCUUCUGACGAACUAUAAUGCUAUUAAUUUGGUGUUUUAGGGAAUCAGGACUGUUACUUUGAAAAAAUUAGAGUGUUUAAAGCAGGCUCACGCUUGAAUACAUUAGCAUGGAAUAACGAAAUAGGACGUUUGAUUCUAUUUUGUUGGUUUCUAGGAUCGACGUAAUGAUUAAUAGGGAUAGUUGGGGGCAUUAGUAUUCAAUUGUCAGAGGUGAAAUUCUUGGAUUUAUUGAAGACUAACUACUGCGAAAGCAUUUGCCAAGGAUGUUUUC
rnacentral:rRNA from 1 species